rnacentral:rRNA from 1 species
GACGAACGCUGGCGGCGUGCUUAACACAUGCAAGUCGAGCGGUAAGGCCCUUUCGGGGGUACACGAGCGGCGAACGGGUGAGUAACACGUGGGUGACCUGCCCUCAGCUCUGGGAUAAGCCCGGGAAACUGGGUCUAAUACCGGAUAUGACUCCAUGACGCAUGUUGUGGGGUGGAAAGCCUUGUGCGGCUGAGGAUGGGCCCGCGGCCUAUCAGCUUGUUGGUGGGGUGAUGGCCACCAAGGCGACGACGGGUAGCCGGCCUGAGAGGGCGACCGGCCACACUGGGACUGAGAUACGGCCCAGACUCCUACGGGAGGGCAGCAGUGGGGAAUCUUGCGCAAUGGGCGGAAAGCCUGACGCAGCGACGCCGCGUGAGGGAUGACGGCCUCGG